rnacentral:rRNA from 1 species
CAGUGGGCUCAGAAUCAACGCUGGCGGCGUGCCUCAGACAUGCAAGUCGAACGAUUAAGACUUCCUUCGGGAAGUGUAUAAAGUGGCGCACGGGUGAGUAACACGUAAGUAAUCUACCUUCGAGUGGGGAAUAACGUUCAGAAACGAACGCUAAUACCGGAUAGUCCCGUAAGGGUAAAGCAGCAAUGCGCUUUGAGAGGAACCUGCGUCCUAUCAGUUAGUUGGUGAGGUAAUGGCUCACCAAGACUAUGACGGGUAGCUGGUCUGAGAGGAUGAUCAGCCACAAUGGAACUGAGACACGGUCCAUACUCCUACGGGAGGCAGCAGUAAGGUAAUUUUCGCAAUGGGGAAACCCUGACGAAGCAACACCGCGUGAGGGAUGAAGGCCUUUUGGUUGUAAACUUCUUUUUUGAGGGAAUAAAUAUGAAGGUACCUCAAGAAUAAGCAUCGGCUAACUACGUG